rnacentral:lncRNA from 1 species
GCCUUGCCUCAUCGGGAUGCUCCCUUCAUGGACCCUCCAGGGUAGGGGCAGGCGACGCCCAUCUGAAUGCCGUGCUCUUCCCUUCAGCUCUGCUGCAGACUUGUGCCUGCCUCCUCCUCCCAUAACUGCAGGCCCUGGAAACCAGCUCUCAACACAGCAUCCAUUCUUUGUCCUGGGAUGGAGAGGCAUCUGAGAAGGGUCAGCAUCAAUGUGGCCCUGCCUGCUUCCAGGAAUACCCUCCAUCACCUGGCCACACCUGCUCCCCAAACUGCCUGGACUCUCUUGGGUCCCCGGAAGUAAAGAGUUAAUGAGGUGGUGGAGGUGGAGGCAGCCUGCCUUGAGCUCUGGGUACAUUACCAGUGACAGCCCAGACUACAGAAGCUGAAGAAGCCUUAUAGCUUGACUUAUCCAUACCUUGCCCUUAACAGAUGAGGAAACGAUGCCGGGCAGUGCUGGCGCACGCCUUUAAUCCCAGCACUUGGGAGACAGAGGCAGGCGGAUUUCUGAGUUCGAGGCCAGCCUGGUCUACAAAGUGAGUUCCAGGACAGCCAGGGCUAUACAGAGAAACCCUGUCUUGAAAAUGGAGGUCCAGAAAGGGUUAAGGACUUCUUAGGGUCACAUGAUCUGUAAGUGACAAGGCUUGGUCAAGAACCAGAGUCUCCUCCCCACCUGUGGGAGGCUCUGUGGAGGAGAGAGGUGUGGUGCUGGGCAGUCGCCGCCCGGUCUCUAGGAUGAGCCCUCUGCUUCAAGAGGUUCAGGGUGCUGAGAAGAUCAACAUGGAUGCUCUCAGUCCAAGGCACAGGCAGAUGCUAGGAGUCAGCGGCCUGAGGCUGGCUUCUGCCGGGAACUCAGCAGGGAGAGCUGGCUGGAAGCCUCUCAGGCUCUCUCUUUUCAUUUCAAGAAAAGAAGUCAAAGUGAGGACAGAGUUCCCUAGACCAGGACUCUGUGCAGCCCGACCAGAAGUCGCCAGUGUCCAUGCCCUGAGCCCGUGAGAGCAGCAGAGCAGGCGUUUCAAGAGGCGCUUGCCCUGCUGUUCCUUGGGCCAUUUCUGUAGUUUACAGUUAGAGCUCUAUUUUGUUAUGGGUUUUUAAAACUUUAAGCCCUGCUCUUUUUUCCUGGGCGGGUUUAUGUUAGUAUUUACCCACUACAAUUUUUUAAAGAUGUCCACACACUCACGUACCUUUCCCCCUACCACCUCCAUACCUUCCCCUAGCUAAGGACUGCUUCCUUGGAGCUGAUUAAACCCUCCCUCUUCUGCUCCCAGCAUCUCACAUACAAGGGUGCUAGGGGCUCAGCCAUGUGAUCAUUCUCCCUCCCGUGAACCCCAGAGAUGGUCCAGCAUCCCUCCCUCCCCAUCCUAUGCUGGCUGGGAUUUGGCUCGGGCCUAGCCCUGGAAAACCCUAGCUAGCCCUGGAAAGGGGCACCUGAAACCUUCCAAGGUUUACCUAUUUCUCACUGCCUUGGGUUUGUGGGGUGGGGGGAGUGCUAAAGAAAUGGGUAUCUAGUGUCUGGGCAGGGUAAGUGAACCUGGUCAGGGAGGUGGGAGGCUACAGCCCCUAAGCUUUUCUUCUAACAAGGUCCAUGAAAAGCAGGCAAGCUGCUGGGAGACUGGAGAAGAGGAAAACCUUAGCCCUGUGCAGGUAGCAUUUGUUGUGGGGAGGUGAGGCUGUGCCAGCAGCUUUGGAGCUUCGAGUGUUAUCUAAGGUGUAAGGAGACCGCAGGUGACUCGCCAACGUGAGCUUGUAAAUAGAAAAAAAAAAAAGCCUCUUGCUGAGGAAACUUGGACCUUAACUGGCUUGGGAAGGAGGGCUAGAUCAAAUGGCUUCUCAGAGUCCCUCUCCUGCCAAGGGUCCUCUUGACUUCUGUACAGGCUGGGGAAGCUUUUGGACUGGCCCCUGCUAUGGUCCUGACUGCUAGGGGUGAAGCUGCCUAUAAAUACCUCUCCAGGGGCUGGGAGGUACCCUCUGUUCCAUCCACCACACUGCUCAUUGCCAUCUGAUGGUACAAAUGAGUGGCUCUGCCAUCCAGGGCAGCAGGUGACCCAGACAGUGGGGAAGUCGGGAGGCGAUGGGGCAGGGAUGAGAAGCCUGACCGUGAACAGGAGAGAAUGAAGCCAAGGUCAGGGAAGUCUUCGGGAAUAAGGAAAGUCUUCCUUUGGGUAACCUUUGAGGUGUUUCGGUGUUCUGUCCAAUCCUGGUUGGGUGAAGUCCUGACUUGAGGAGUAGGAGGUGCUGAGUCCUCCCAGAGCUGAGAUCUUAGAAUCCAAAUGCCUAGUACAGGGAAGCCGUAGAGGUACCAUCUGCAGCUUAUUUUAAAAGCCAUCAGUGGGAAUGAUCCCCAGAACAGUCCUUACAAAGUCGUGCCUUCCCCAGCGCAUCCUAGCCCGUACUCUAGCCAAGAGCUCAGCGUGGCUAGCUAAGCUAUCCUUCCCUCACGCCUUUUCUUCUCCUAGUUGUCCAAUAGCCAAUAGGACUCCUGCAUGCCAGGGGGACAGCAGUAUCCUCACACCUGUUAAUGAGUUCAAGUGUGGUGUUCGCUCUCGCUAGCUGAGACUAUACCUUGCCAGGGAGUCUGGAGUGUGCCUCUUGAACCUGUAUAUGUGGUCCCAGGCUUUGGGAAAUCAGGGCAUUAAAGAAAACAAGAGAGGAGGAGGAGGGAAAAAGAAGGAGGGAGAAGGAGGAGGAGGGAGGGGGGAGGAGGAAGAAAAGAUAAAAAAGCUCUGUUCAGAGCCCCAGGUAGCCUCAGAGGCCUAGGGUCCUUAAGUUUCUUUAGAGGGAACGCAACCUGCCUUGGCACCAGAUACCUCCAACUUAGCCCCCGGUUUCAGAGCCCACAUAGCUCUGAGCUCAGGGCUUCACUGGACCACUGAUGACCGUUCUUGUUUAAAUGCAGCUCCUCCACCCCAGCCCACUGUUCGCUCUUGUAGUAGUUAUUGAUUGACUCUGGUAGCAAGCAGUUCUUAAAUAAAGAUGUGUUCUGAACCCGCCUGGGCGGCUGGAAGCACUGCACUUCUCACCUCAUUAAAGCCUGCCUGCCUCCUGG